AAGGAGCAUCUAGAUUCCGCAAGUCAGAGGCCACUACGUCGGCAAAUGUUCGACGGUGGUUAGCUCAUGGGUGGAACGUUGACUAUUCGGCACGAUGAGCACGGUUUUGUUAGUACUGCUUCGGCGUGGAACACAGGAUCGGGUUGAUCGGGUCGGGCACGCUGUUGGGUAUCUGAAGGUACGGGCUCGUUGAGUCUGGAUCUUCGGUUGCCGGCCCCAGUGCACUCACCUGUAAGGGUGGGGUGAUGGGUGGCUGGUCGUUGUUUGAGAACUGCACAGUGGACGCGAGCAUCUGU
rnacentral:misc_RNA from 1 species